rnacentral:rRNA from 1 species
ACAGAGAGUGCGAACGUUGUUCGGAAUCACUGGGCAUAAAGCGCACGUAGGCGGCACCAUAAGUGCGAGGUGAAAUCCCACGGCUUACCCGUGGAACUGCUUUGCAGACUGUGGUGCUAGAGGAUGGUAGGGGAGAGCGGAACUCUUGGUGGAGCGGUGAAAUGCGUAGAGAUCAAGAGGAACACCGGUGGCGAAGGCGGCUCUCUGGUCCAUAUCUGACGCUGAGGUGCGAAAGCUAGGGGAGCAAACGGGAUUAGAUACCCCGGUAGUCCUAGCUGUAAACGAUGGAUACUAGCUUGGGGUCUCCCUGUGUGAUCCCAGGUGAAGCAAAUGUGAUAAGUAUCCCGCCUGGGGAGUAUGGUCGCAAGGCUG